rnacentral:rRNA from 1 species
GGGUUGUGAGGUUAAGCGACUAAGCGUACACGGUGGAUGCCUUGGCAGUCAGAGGCGAUGAAGGGCGUGCUAAUCUGCGAUAAGCGCCGGUAAGGUGAUAUGAACCGUUAUAACCGGCGAUACCCGAAUGGGGAAACCCAGUGUGACUCGUCACACUAUCAUUAACUGAAUCCAUAGGUUAAUGAGGCGAACCGGGGGAACUGAAACAUCUAAGUACCCCGAGGAAAAGAAAUCAACCGAGAUUCCCCCAGUAGCGGCGAGCGAACGGGGAGGAGCCCAGAGCCUGAAUCAGCAUGUGUGUUAGUGGAAGCGUCUGGAAAGGCGCGCGAUACAGGGUGACAGCCCCGUACACAAAAGCGCAUGUGCUGUGAGCUCGAUGAGUAGGGCGGGACACGUGGUAUCCUGUCUGAAUAUGGGGGGACCAUCCUCCAAGGCUAAAUACUCCUGACUGACCGAUAGUGAACCAGUACCGUGAGGGAAAGGCGAAAAGAACCCCGGCGAGGGGAGUGAAAAAGAACCUGAAACCGUGUACGUACAAGCAGUGGGAGCCCCACCACUAAGCCAGUGGUGAACUCCACAUCCGCAUCCUUUGCUGAGGAUACGGUUAACGGAGCGAAAGCGACGUUCAACCGCAAAACAAGCAGAGGGGGCUUAGUGGUGGGGUGACUGCGUACCUUUUGUAUAAUGGGUCAGCGACUUAUAUUCUGUAGCAAGGUUAACCGUAUAGGGGAGCCGGAGGGAAACCGAGUCUUAAUUGGGCGUUAAGUUGCAGGGUAUAGACCCGAAACCCGGUGAUCUAGCCAUGGGCAGGUUGAAGGUUGGGUAACACUAACUGGAGGACCGAACCGACUAAUGUUGAAAAAUUAGCGGAUGACCUGUGGCUGGGGGUGAAAGGCCAAUCAAACCGGGAGAUAGCUGGUUCUCCCCGAAAGCUAUUUAGGUAGCGCCUCGUGAAUUCAUCUCCGGGGGUAGAGCACUGUUUCGGCUAGGGGGCCAUCCCGGCUUACCAACCCGAUGCAAACUGCGAAUACCGGAGAAUGUUAUCACGGGAGACACACGGCGGGUGCUAACGUCCGUCGUGAAGAGGGAAACAACCCAGACCGCCAGCUAAGGUCCCAAAGUCAUGGUUAAGUGGGAAACGAUGUGGGAAGGCCCAGACAGCCAGGAUGUUGGCUUAGAAGCAGCCAUCAUUUAAAGAAAGCGUAAUAGCUCACUGGUCGAGUCGGCCUGCGCGGAAGAUGUAACGGGGCUAAACCAUGCACCGAAGCUGCGGCAGCGA